UACGUAGGGGGCAAGCGUUGUCCGGAUUUAUUGGGCGUAAAGCGCUCGCAGGUGGUUCGUUGCGUCGUGCGUGAAAGACCCCGGCUCAACUGGGGAGGGUCGUGCGAUACGGGCGAACUGGAGGCCAGUAGGGGGGUGCGGAAUUCCGGGUGUAGUGGUGGAAUGCGUAGAGAUCCGGAGGAACACCAGCGGCGAAGGCGGCAUCCUGGACUGGUCCUGACACUCAUGAGCGAAAGCGUGGGGAGCGAUCCGG
rnacentral:rRNA from 1 species